rnacentral:rRNA from 1 species
CACGAGGGGACGAGCGUUGUCCGGAUUCAUUGGGCGUAAAGCGCGCGUAGGCGGCUCGGAAAGUCGGUCGUGAAAUGCCGGGGCUCAACCCCGGGACUGCGUCCGAUACUCCCGAGCUGGAGGCAGGUAGGGGAGAUCGGAAUUCCUGGUGUAGCGGUGAAAUGCGCAGAUAUCAGGAGGAACACCGGUGGCGAAGGCGGAUCUCUGGGCCUUGCCUGAGCUGAGGCGCGAAAGCUAGGGGAGCGAACAGG